AACGCACCUUGCACUCCUUGGUAUUCCGAGGAGUAUGCCUGUUUGAGUGUCAUUAAUUUCUCAACUGUUAUCAAGCUUUAUUGCUGUUAAUUCGUUGGACUUGGGGGUUCUGGCGUUUUAUGUCGGCUCCCCUUAAAUCUAUUAGCUGGUUUCUAAUGACUUGUCUAAUUGGUGUGAUAAAUUAUCUACGCCAUUGACUUGUUGUUUUUACCGCUUCUAAUUGUCUGUUCAUUCAGACUAUAUAAUGACAAAUUUGACCUCAAAUCAGGUAGGACUACCCGCUGAACUUAA
rnacentral:misc_RNA from 1 species